rnacentral:tRNA from 1 species
CCGGAAUAGCUCAGUKGGUAGAGCAGAGGACUGAAAAUCCU